UCCCCUCGAGGGAAAACAAGUUGAAAUGCCUCAGCAGACGAAACUUAAACUUACUGGGAAUCUACGUGGUCGUUUAGUGACAUAUUCAGAAACUCAGAGUCUGAUGGGUCUAAAAGAAAUUGCAGAGUCUUUGUCUGGAACUUUGACUAAGUCAACUGAUGCUAUUGUGCAAGACGAUAUUGAAGGUCCAGGAAUGAAACCGAGAAACCUGCUGAGGUUUGAAUAAGAACUCUUUUAUCUAGUAUUUACAUCAUUCUUGAACAUUGUAAUGGAGCCAACAGAA